rnacentral:rRNA from 1 species
ACGUAGGGUGCGAGCGUUAAUCGGAAUUACUGGGCGUAAAGCGUGCGCAGGCGGCUAGGUAAGAAAGAUGUGAAAUCCCCGGGCUCAAACUGGGAGCUGCAUUUGUGACUGCAUGGCUAGAGUACGGUAGAGGGGGGUGGAAUUCCGCGUGUAGCAGUGAAAUGCGUAGAUAUGCGGAGGAACACCGAUGGCGAAGGCAAUCCCCUGGACCUGUACUGACGCUCAUGCACGAAAGCGUGGGGAGCAAACAG